CUUGUACUCCCUCCGUCCGGAAAUACUUGUCAUUGAAAUGGAUGUAUCUAUAUGUAUUUUAGUUCUAGACACAUCCAUUUUGACGACAAGUAAUUCUGGAUGGAGGGAGUACUUG
rnacentral:pre_miRNA from 1 species